rnacentral:rRNA from 1 species
UACGUAGGGUGCAAGCGUUUGUCCGGAAUUAUUGGGCGUAAAGAGCUCGUAGGCGGUUCGUCGCGUCGGCUGUGAAAUCCCGAGGCUCAACCUCGGGUCUGCAGUCGAUACGGGCGGACUGGAGUUCGGCAGGGGAGACUGGAAUUCCGUGGUGUAGCGGUGAAAUGCGCAGAUAUCAGGAGGAACACCGGUGGCGAAGGCGGGUCUCUGGGCCGAUACUGACGCUGAGGAGCGAAAGCGUGGGGAGCGAACAGG